rnacentral:rRNA from 1 species
CAGUCGCCGCGGUAAUACGGAAGGUGCAAGCGUUAAUCGGAAUUACUGGGCGUAAAGCGCACGCAGGCGGUCUGACAAGUCAGAUGUGAAAUCCCCGGGCUUAACCUGGGAACUGCAUUUGAAACUGUCAGGCUGGAGUCUUGUAGAGGGGGGUGGAAUUCCAGGUGUAGCGGUGAAAUGCGUAGAGAUCUGGAGGAAUACCGGUGGCGAAGGCGGCCCCCUGGACAAAGACUGACGCUCAGGUGCGAAAGCGUGGGGAGCAAACAGGAUUAGAGACCCCGGUAGUCCCUGUCUCUUAUAC